rnacentral:lncRNA from 1 species
AGGCACUGCGGACCCUCCAGCUGUACUGCCAGAGGAAGGCGGAGGAGGUACAGAGGAACUACAUGUUGGCGGAGCACACAGAGCAAAUUUCUAUCCAAAAGUCUCAGAUCACAGAGACUCAAGGACAGAGGAAGCUGGGGUUGCCCAUGGAAGAACAGCUGGAGGAUUUGAUAGGCCCGCACAAGGACCUCUGGGAAUUCCAAGUGAGCCAUUAUCAUCGCCUCUGUUGAAGGCCCUCCUCCCCUGGCUCCAGCAUGUCUGCUGAUGGGCCCAGGGUCCUCCUCCUGCUCAGGCCCAACGCCAAGGGGUAGUCCUUGACUCCUUUCUUCCUGACACCCACUCAGCUCAGUCCACCCAGCCGCCUCUCACCAACCCCCACUGCCGCACUCAGCCUCUGGUGCCCAGACUGUUGCCCUGGUCUUUGCUAACCUCGCUCCCCUCCUGCUCGCCUAGAGUACUCAUCCUGCAGUAGCAAGUGGGAACUCUGACCUAGACAUGGCCAGACCAUCUCUUCAUUCAGCCAGUGUCUCUGGAUGUGUCCAGCGGCACUCCAGAGGGGCCAAGUCUUUGCUGUCCCCAAGCUGGUUAGCGGCACGGGGUGGGCAUGCCCAGAGUCUAAACAGGAAAAUAAGUCGAUAAAUCCUGUAACGCCAGUGGGGAAGUCCUCUGUGAGCAGGUGUCAUCUGAACACAGACACGGAUUAAUAAGCAAGGAAGCCAUGCAGUUGUCAGAGUGCCAGUGUCCCUGAGAGGGAACCUGCCUGGUAUACUUGAGGAAGAGCAAACCGUGGGGCUGGAGGAUGAAAGAGUGGGAAGAGGUGAGGUUUAAGAGGUACACGGGGACCUGGCGAGUGACUGAGGGGGAAAGCGUCUCUCCCCGAGCCCCCCAGGCCCCAGCAGAAGCUGCACACCGAAUGAAUGGGUAGCUGAAUGAAGGCAUGAACCCACUAAUUCAGAUAAGGACUUUCCGAGAGGCGCGGAGGAGGAGGGGACCAGGAGGAGAGCUGCAGGGACAGGGCUCCUCUCUCCCUUCGCAGAUGCUGAAGCGGCGACUGGCCUGGGAGAUCCGUGCCCUGCAGAGCAGCCAGGAGCAGCUGCUCACCGAAGGUGGGACCUGGGCCCGGGGCGGGGGCGGGGCCGGGGCGGCCGGCGGGAGCCUAGGCGCCGCCCACGACGCCCCGCCCGCCCCCAGAGAGGCAGGCGCUGGCCCGGCUGGAGGACGUGGAGCGGCAGCUGCUUGCGCCGCCCGAGGCCCGCGCCGCUCGGGCGGCGAUCUGCAGGCUGAAGGCGGAGCCGGAGAAACUCCGGGGGGAGGCCCCCGCCCAGACCCAGAGCACUCCAGAGGACCGGGACGGCUCUGGAGAGGUAGAGGGCCGGCAGGCGCACCGAGACAGAGCGGGCAGCGAGGGCCCGGGGUCCCUGCGGGAGGCGCGCGUGCGGGCGCAGGGCGUCCUCGGGGGGUGGAGAACGGGCCUGCCCCAGCAGGCCAGACGCCCGCCCCCCAACCCCAGCAGGCCGGCCCCCCCGCUCCCCUUCCCAGCAGGCCUGACUCCCGCCCCCCGCACCCCAGCAGGCCGGCCCCCAGCUCCCCAGUGAGGGCGACCUGGCGCCACCGAUGGAACUGGUCUUGA